UACGGGGGGGGUAAGCGUUGUUCGGAAUUACUGGGCGUAAAGGGCUCGUAGGCGGCCAACUAAGUCAGACGUGAAAUCCCUCAGCUUAACCGGGGAACUGCGUCUGAUACUGGAUGGCUUGAGUGUGGGAGAGGGAUGCGGAAUUCCAGGUGUAGCGGUGAAAUGCGUAGAUAUCUGGAGGAACACCGGUGGCGAAGGCGGCAUCCUGGACCACGACUGACGCUGAGGAGCGAAAGCCAGGGGAGCAAACGGG
rnacentral:rRNA from 1 species